AUUGAACGCUGGCGGCAGGCCUAACACAUGCAAGUCGAGCGGAUGACGGGAGCUUGCUCCUUGAUUCAGCGGCGGACGGGUGAGUAAUGCCUAGGAAUCUGCCUGGUAGUGGGGGACAACGUUUCGAAAGGAACGCUAAUACCGCAUACGUCCUACGGGAGAAAGCAGGGGACCUUCGGGCCUUGCGCUAUCAGAUGAGCCUAGGUCGGAUUAGCUAGUAGGUGAGGUAAUGGCUCACCUAGGCGACGAUCCGUAACUGGUCUGAGAGGAUGAUCAGUCACACUGGAACUGAGACACGGUCCAGACUCCUACGGGAGGCAGCAGUGGGGAAUAUUGGACAAUGGGCGAAAGCCUGAUCCAGCCAUGCCGCGUGUGUGAAGAAGGUCUUCGGAUUGCAAAGCACUUUAAGUUGGGAGGAAGGGCAGUAAGUUAAUACCUUGCUGUUUUGACGUUACCGACAGAAUAAGCACCGGCUAACUCUGUACCAGCCGCCGCUGUAA
rnacentral:rRNA from 1 species